UGCCUGGAGACGCGCAUGCGCGGCGGGGCUGCGCUGGCCCGCCUCUGGGCCAACUCUGAGGUAGUUCCAGCUGAGCUGAGAGUUUGGCUUUUCUAAGAGAGGUAUUCGGGUGACGCCUUCGAUCCGCCUUCCUCAUGUCAAUUCUUGAUAACUGCCAAGAGCCAAGUGAGAAGAAGGCAGUGAUGUAGGAAGAGAGACCACUGGAGAUAGGCCAGGAUAAUGACAGAUCAGACUAUACUAAUUUCAUAAAACAGAUGAAGGGAUCAAGGUGAAAAAUGAAGGUUCUGUAGUAUUGACUCAACACAGCGGAGAGAUCAGGAAGGUCUCGCUGAACUCCUUUUGUUUAAUAAAGUCCCAUUUUCAAGUGCACUUACCCAAAAUGAACACAUUUUUUGGGUAAGUGUUUUUUUUUUUUUUUAAAGAACUUUGGCACUAGGUGAAAUUCAUGAGAAAGGCAAGUCAGCUUUACUCUUGUGCUGAGUGCAGUGGCCCAGCUCAAAGCUGCAAAGUGUUUUCAUCCAGGUUGUUGGCCAUCUAGCUUGAGAGCCCCUGGGGGGGCGCUCGGUCAUCUGUCUGUCCUGUCCUGGGCCCAGCGUCCUUUGGCUCGCUCUCUAAAUCUGUGAAUGACGUCUGCCUAUACAGCUGAGAGAAAUUUGUCAUCUUCUCAAUAGUGAUAUGUCAUCGCUUUCAUGCCCUACCCACAGCACACGCUAGCCGUGGGGGUCUUGAAGGAAAGUACACUUGUGCUUGUUGAAAUGUCUACAAGAAUAGACACGGGCUUUUAGGCAGCCCCUUUUCUACCUCUCAAAAGAGCUGCACAGAGACAAGCGUUCUGCAAGUAUUUGUUGAACUCGGAUUUUCAGUCAUUUCCGAGGCAAGAUAAUGCCUUCUCUUGGUUGUUUUUUUCUUUUCACAUUACAGUACUUCAUUAUUGCCACAGGGGGAACUGUUGGCUUAAUUUUGCUUUAGAGACACUGCUGCUGAAAUUAUUAAACUAAUGAUUUAUGCCCCCUGUGAUACAGCAAUCUCUUGUGCUUAAAAUGGUUACUAUGUUUUGUUUACUGUUUAUAACUACCAGUGGUUAUGCCACGAAAAACCCCUGCCAGCUUGAGGGUUUAUUUAUCCCUGUGGAUCUUUAGAAACCGCUGAUUAAUAUAGAAAAAAUUUGAAUGGUUUAUAUUAAAAAAAAAUCCCAUAAGCUAUGAAUUAAACCACUGUGCUCUGCUAUAUAGGAGAAAAAGUUCAGUGAGAAUAAACAAUGGAUGUCAAAACCUACCGACUCUCAUAUUUGCUUCUGGUUUUAUCAAAGUGGAAAGUAUGAGUGCUUUUCAGGAAUACAGUGCUGUGACUCCAUCAGUUUUGGGCUAUGAGAUCACCAGCAUGUCCCCUUGGGUGCCGCACAUUUUACC